UUCCUGGCCAUCUAGUGGUUAGGACUUGGCACUUUCACUGCCAGGGCCCAGGUUCAAUCCCUGGUUGGGAAA
rnacentral:tRNA from 1 species